AUGCUGCUGGAGUGGUUGUGGGGACGUGUCUUCGUGAUCGGUCAGGGUAAUGCAUUCUCAACUUUGUGUUGAUUUUACAUCUUGAUUUUAUGAACAUGAGAACAUUGAGGGUCCAUAGCUAAUGGAGCGGAAGAGCAGUAUACGAGUGAGUUCGAGAAGAAGGUAUAUACUUUGAAGAUGGAAGUGACUACGCAGAGAUCUUUGUGUAGGUUACGAAGCUGCAGGUGAUAAAGGAAUCCUUUUUUUUAUUUCGACGCGAUCUCAUUUGGGAUCUCAUGCCCCAAUUGGGGAACAUGAUACAUACACUCUCAGAUUGGUUGGGUACAUCAGACGGCUUAAUUAUUACAAUUAAAAAAAAGAUAAAAUGGAUGGACUCGAUGAGUGAGCUGGACAAGAAACAUAAAAAGGAAAAUGUUGAAAUGCUUGAAGAAGCGAAGAAUGCACUCUCCCUCAAGGCUGACAUUGACUUCCGAGGGCACAGGCGUUUUGCGGAACCUGGUGGAAUAAUGGAUUUUGGUGAAGACUGACGAUCCAAUAGAGCGAAAGAACAAGCGGAGAAACUUUUGUAAGAACUGUCAUGGCGUUUUUGUUGCUGUUGAGACGGGUGUGGCUCCGGUGGCGUUUUGCCGGUGGUCGUAUACAACCGAUAACGGGUUCACAAAAUCUUCGUACACUGCAGCAUUUCAUUCUGGAAACGGGCCCGAGAUCAGUGAUUCGGGUCAAGUUAGAAGACUUAGUCAAUAGCGUACCAAACGGGUGCUUUUCAUUUGAACCUGUUAUUGAUGUUAGAAAGUUAAUCAAUAAAGUCCGAUAAGUGAUUCGGGUCAGUUUAGAAGAAAUGAAGUUAGCUUCAAAAGCCGAAAAGAACGGGAAAAGACGAAAAACACGAUGAUCAACCCGGACCCUGAUUUCCAUGAUUUUGAUAACGACAGAUCGGAGAAAGUAUUUAAACCCAAACAAAUAUGGGCGAUUUACGAUGAACAAGAUGGGAUUUUGAUAGCAUGCUAUCACAUUUUAUUUUGUAACACGUUAUAUCACAUUUUAGUAUGUUCGCAUUUGUCCGAAAACCUAAUAGACUUUC
rnacentral:lncRNA from 1 species